rnacentral:ncRNA from 1 species
UAGGAACCGUGAGAUUAAGCCAUCGCGGCAGGUGCUCACGUUAAGCCCACUGACUUUCAUGUCCCUAUCUACUAUCUAGCGAAACCACAGCCAAGGGAACGGGCUUGGAAUAAUUAGCGGGGAAAGAAGACCCUUUUGAGCUUGACUCUAAUCUGGCAGUGUAAGGAGACAUAAGAGGUGUAGAAUAAGUGGGAGAUAUUAGACUUCGGUUUGGUAUCGACAAUGAAAUACCACUACUCUUAUUGUUUCCUUACUUACUUGAUUAAAUGGAACGUGUAUCAUUUCCUAGCCAUUAUACGGAUAUAAUUAUUAUGU